AUCUAAUUGGGAUGCUUGUUGACAUUGAUAAGAAUUAGAGAAUUUAACCCUCAACAUUUAUACACUAUGACAACAUUGAAAAAAGAAAAUCAAUAUGUGAACUGAUUGUCUAGGUUUAUUCUUUUCCUUUGAUUAACAUAGCCUUGGGAGUUCAAAUUAGUCUAUAUGAUGCACUAAUAUUUGGACUACCAAUUUCUAUAAUUU
rnacentral:lncRNA from 1 species